rnacentral:lncRNA from 1 species
GAACUCCAGGUCGCGCCAAUCAGAUCAGAGAAAGAACUAUGGGCUCCGCCCCUCCAGCCGCGGUCAUCACAGAAUGGCCUGGCACGGUGACCACGGAGUGCCCUGGCACCGGUGCCCGCGGCUGUGACGGAAAAAGGGUGGGAAGAACAGGGAAGAGGAAGCAGAAACAGAGACAGAGUCUCACUGGAGUGCAGUGGCGUGACUAUGGCUCACUGCAUCCUCAAAGUCCUGGGCUCAAGUGAUCCUCCCCCCUCAACCUCCUGAGUAGCCUCUCUGCAUGUUUUUCUGAUUCAUCCAUGUUCUAUGUAUUGGUGGUUCAUUAUUUUAUUGCUGAGUAGUAUUCCACUGUAUGGAUAUAACACAACUUGUUUAUCCAUUGAAUUGUGAUGGGCCAUAAGACUGUUUCUCAUUUUUAGCUAUUAUAAAUAAAGCUUUU